AACCACUACCGUCGUCGAUCCCGCGAACCAUCUCCGCUCCCGGGGUGGCACACCACCUCCUCCCGCCGUCCGGCGCCUCGAGCCUCCCUCCUUCUGCCGUCGCCCCCAAGCCCCCGCGAUUUCCUGGAGGUGCUCCGCUCGCUGCCGCUCGAACUUGAACUUGCUGCUCCUUCAUCCCCGCACGGCCGCUCCUCCUGCCAUCCUCGCCCACGAGCUCGCUGUGCUGCACAUGCGCCAAACAACCUCGUCUCUGGUUUUGACUCCCUGUAACACUUGCCCAAAUACGGAGGCAAGAUAAUUGAUAUUGUGUCAAGAGAUGUUCAGUGGCCAGAGGAUAAGGCCCAAGCCCUGACGGAUGUGAACGGCACAAUAUUGUACAUUGUGCUAAUAGUUGUGACCGGGUCAGUUUGCACAGCUCUUCGGGCAUGGCUAUUCAAUUCUGCUAAUGAGAGAGUCGUUGCUCGACUUAGACAAGACUUGUUCAGUCAUCUCAUAAACCAGGCAAGUGGCUUAAUUUUGUUUAAGCCUUCUACAAGGAUGGUCUCAUACCCUGCCUGCUUCCCCUCCUCACCUCCACCUCGUUGUGGUUCGUUGCUGAGGAAAAGAACGACCGUGUACAGUUCCCGUUGGUUGCCUUGCUGCCCUGGGGCGCGAGCUCAUCCACCAGGGGUGCUGGCAGCCGUCCAAGUGGAGCGUUGACGCCAGUACAAGUAGAAUCGUGGGUUGCGGCCACCAUCUUCACCAAGCACCGCACAUCCGUCCAAGUCGAGCACACACACAGGGAGAACACACCAGCCCCUUUGCUUUGCACAUUGCUUUGUUAUGCAUGACUGCUGAUGGAUGCAGCAAGCGUUUAUAUUAGUUUGAUCUUGUGCAAGACUCAAUUUUGUCUCGGUUUUCGUGGAUGCUAGCUGGCAAUACGUCCAACAUUCUUGCGGCGAUAGCGGCCACCACUAAGGGCAUUUGCGUCCAACACUCGAGCUACAUGCUCGACGGUCGCACACUGCCGCCAUGGGCAUGCACAAAGAUAUUAAGUAGAAGUUUGUUAGUUCAGUUUUUUAUUGAUUUACCUUGUUUAAGUAGUAGUGCAGCAAUAAAAGGUGUAGUUGUACUGAAGUUUUAGUUGCUAUAUGAGGAACCCAGAGGCCAUUUAUUUUGGUUUUCAGUUCAACUUGUCUGUUCUUUUCGGUCCGGAUGCUUUAUUGCGCAUAAUCUUGAGGAAUCCCCAGAAAUCAUAUGUCUCAUGUGAAUCUUGUUCAGUUCAUCAGUUCGUCGGAAAAAUAUAUCAUCUACAAAAAGGAUUGCAAUCUGGUAAUGUGAAGUAUGUUGUAGUCUAUACCUGUAGAGUGCAUUUUUGUAGUGCUGGUAUUUGUGGUCACUCUUUUUUGUUAGAAACAAUGGAUAUAUAUUUAUAUUUUGUAGUGUCAGUACUUGAGAACAAAAGGUUCAGUUUUCAAACUUUAAACACUUCAUCGCAAGCUUUCGGUGUAGCAAGACGUACGCCAAUGUGUGUGUGCACUUGAUGUAACUCUAUUGCACUAUAUGAAAUUCAUGCGAUUUUCAUGCAUCAACAAAUCUGAUAGAGAGCACCAUUCUUUUCUGAAUUUUGUAUUUAAGAAAUAUCACCCUUUCUAUAUUUUGAACACUAGCUAGUGCUUUCUUUUCUUGUUAUAGUCAAAAAGUGGUACAUGUAUGUAGUUAUGGUGAUAGUGAUACUAACCAGACCAAGCUACUUCAAUUGUUUUACCAAAAUCUAGAAAUUCUCCAUAUACGGCAAGAGCCAACCGGACGUUUUUGUCUAGCCUGACUUGGGACGGCUUCUUUGCAACUGCAGGUUAGAAAGUUCAACAUGUGAUUGGAAAUCAGUGCGAAAAACUGCUGGUUAGAAGUUCAUCUUCUGUUCUGCCCCUAGAAAGAAGUUUGUCUUGUAAAGGUUGAAGCUAAUGGGCUAGGAAGCUUUAUAAGAAAUUGAUUUGCCUGUUCAUUGAAAAAGUUUGGUUUGCCUGUUCCGUGAAAGUGUCUUGCUAAAGAAAUAUCUCUUGUGCACUUAUUUAUUCGCCUGAAUAUUUGGUUUGAUUCUCAGGUGCGAAAUGUCUUGCUAAUCAAAGUUUGGUUUGAUUCUCAGGUGCGAGAAAUAUCUCUUGUGCACUAGUGGUUGGCUGCUCCCAUCGGUAAAUGUAGUCGGAUUCAGCAACUAGCUCUUCCUCAAGCAACCAUUUGGAGAACUUUAUUGUCUUCUUGUGGUGGUCAUUGAUUUUAGGAUAAGUAAAUUUGACGUUGGUAGCUAGCUUGCGUAUGGAACCUGCAAGUUCAAUAUUGGUAUUAGAUUCAGUUUUUGUUGUAUAAAUGUCCCAAUGUUCACAUUUAUUUGGGUAAAAGUUUAUUUUAGGUUCAG
rnacentral:rRNA from 1 species